UGUGAUCUCAAAUCAGACAAGACGACCCGCUGAAUUUAAGCAUAUCAAUAAGCGGAGGAAAAG
rnacentral:rRNA from 1 species